AGUCGAGCGGUAAGGCCCUUCGGGGUACACGAGCGGCGAACGGGUGAGUAACACGUGAGCAACCUGCCCCUGACUCUGGGAUAAGCGGUGGAAACGCCGUCUAAUACCGGAUACGACCCGCCACCUCAUGGUGGAGGGUGGAAAGUUUUUCGGUCAGGGAUGGGCUCGCGGCCUAUCAGCUUGUUGGUGGGGUAACGGCCUACCAAGGCGAUUACGGGUAGCCGGCCUGAGAGGGCGACCGGCCACACUGGGACUGAGACACGGCCCAGACUCCUGCGGGAGGCAGCAGUGGGGAAUAUUGCGCAAUGGGCGAAAGCCUGACGCAGCGACGCCGCGUGGGGGAUGACGGCCUUCGGGUUGUAAACCUCUUUUACCACCAACGCAGGCUCGAAGUUCUCUUCGGGUUGACGGUAGGUGGGGAAUAAGGACCGGCUAACUACGUGCCAGCAGCCGCGGUAAUACGUAGGGUCCGAGCGUUGUCCGGAAUUAUUGGGCGUAAAGAGCUCGUAGGCGGCGUGUCACGUCUGCUGUGAAAGACCGGGGCUUAACUCCGGUUUCUGCAGUGGAUACGGGCAUGCUAGAGGUAGGUAGGGGAGACUGGAAUUCCUGGUGUAGCGGUGAAAUGCGCAGAUAUCAGGAGGAACACCGGUGGCGAAGGCGGGUCUCUGGGCCUUACCUGACGCUGAGGAGCGAAAGCAUGGGGAGCGAACAGGAUUAGAUACCCUGGUAGUCCAUGCCGUAAACGUUGGGCGCUAGGUGUGGGGACUUUCCACGGUUUCCGCGCCGUAGCUAACGCAUUAAGCGCCCCGCCUGGGGAGUACGGCCGCAAGGCUAAAACUCAAAGGAAUUGACGGGGGCCCGCACAAGCGGCGGAGCAUGUUGCUUAAUUCGACGCAACGCGAAGAACCUUACCAAGGUUUGACAUCACCCGUGGACUCGCAGAGAUGUGAGGUCAUUUAGUUGGCGGGUGACAGGUGGUGCAUGGCUGUCGUCAGCUCGUGUCGUGAGAUGUUGGGUUAAGUCCCGCAACGAGCGCAACCCUUGUUCCAUGUUGCCAGCACGUAAUGGUGGGGACUCAUGGGAGACUGCCGGGGUCAACUCGGAGGAAGGUGGGGAUGACGUCAAGUCAUCAUGCCCCUUAUGUCUUGGGCUGCAAACAUGCUACAAUGGCCGGUACAAUGGGCGUGCGAUACCGUAAGGUGGAGCGAAUCCCUAAAAGCCGGUCUCAGUUCGGAUUGGGGUCUGCAACUCGACCCCAUGAAGGUGGAGUCGCUAGUAAUCGCGGAUCAGCAACGCCGCGGUGAAUACGUUCCCGGGCCUUGUACACACCGCCCGUCACGUCAUGAAAGUCGGCAACACCCGAAACUUGCGGCCUAACCCCUUGUGGGAGGGAGUGAGUGAAG
rnacentral:rRNA from 1 species